rnacentral:rRNA from 1 species
CAGCCGCCACGGUAAUACGAAGGGGGCUAGCGUUGCUCGGAAUGACUGGGCGUAAAGGGCGUGUAGGCGGUUUUGACAGUCAGAUGUGAAAUUCCUGGGCUUAACCUGUGGGCUGCAUUUGAGACGUUAAGACUAGAGUGUGAGAGAGGGUUGUGGAAUUCCCAGUGUAGAGGUGAAAUUCGUAGAUAUUGGGAAGAACACCGGUGGCGAAGGCGGCAACCUGGCUCAUUACUGACGCUGAGGCGCGAAAGCGUGGGGAGCAAACAGGAUUAGAUACCCCCGUAGUCCCUGUCUCUUAUAA